rnacentral:rRNA from 2 species
UUAAGCGACUAAGCGUACACGGUGGAUGCCCUGGCAGUCAGAGGCGAUGAAGGACGUGCUAAUCUGCGAUAAGCGUCGGUAAGGUGAUAUGAACCGUUAUAACCGGCGAUUUCCGAAUGGGGAAACCCAGUGUGUUUCGACACACUAUCAUUAACUGAAUCCAUAGGUUAAUGAGGCGAACCGGGGGAACUGAAACAUCUAAGUACCCCGAGGAAAAGAAAUCAACCGAGAUUCCCCCAGUAGCGGCGAGCGAACGGGGAGGAGCCCAGAGCCUGAAUCAGUGUGUGUGUUAGUGGAAGCGUCUGGAAAGGCGCGCGAUACAGGGUGACAGCCCCGUACACAAAAAUGCACAUGCUGUGAGCUCGAUGAGUAGGGCGGGACACGUGGUAUCCUGUCUGAAUAUGGGGGGACCAUCCUCCAAGGCUAAAUACUCCUGACUGACCGAUAGUGAACCAGUACCGUGAGGGAAAGGCGAAAAGAACCCCGGCGAGGGGAGUGAAAAAGAACCUGAAACCGUGUACGUACAAGCAGUGGGAGCCUCUUUAUGGGGUGACUGCGUACCUUUUGUAUAAUGGGUCAGCGACUUAUAUUCUGUAGCAAGGUUAACCGAAUAGGGGAGCCGAAGGGAAACCGAGUCUUAACUGGGCGUUAAGUUGCAGGGUAUAGACCCGAAACCCGGUGAUCUAGCCAUGGGCAGGUUGAAGGUUGGGUAACACUAACUGGAGGACCGAACCGACUAAUGUUGAAAAAUUAGCGGAUGACUUGUGGCUGGGGGUGAAAGGCCAAUCAAACCGGGAGAUAGCUGGUUCUCCCCGAAAGCUAUUUAGGUAGCGCCUCGUGAAUUCAUCUCCGGGGGUAGAGCACUGUUUCGGCAAGGGGGUCAUCCCGACUUACCAACCCGAUGCAAACUGCGAAUACCGGAGAAUGUUAUCACGGGAGACACACGGCGGGUGCUAACGUCCGUCGUGAAGAGGGAAACAACCCAGACCGCCAGCUAAGGUCCCAAAGUCAUGGUUAAGUGGGAAACGAUGUGGGAAGGCCCAGACAGCCAGGAUGUUGGCUUAGAAGCAGCCAUCAUUUAAAGAAAGCGUAAUAGCUCACUGGUCGAGUCGGCCUGCGCGGAAGAUGUAACGGGGCUAAACCAUGCACCGAAGCUGCGGCAGCGACGCUUAUGCGUUGUUGGGUAGGGGAGCGUUCUGUAAGCCUGCGAAGGUGUGCUGUGAGGCAUGCUGGAGGUAUCAGAAGUGCGAAUGCUGACAUAAGUAACGAUAAAGCGGGUGAAAAGCCCGCUCGCCGGAAGACCAAGGGUUCCUGUCCAACGUUAAUCGGGGCAGGGUGAGUCGACCCCUAAGGCGAGGCCGAAAGGCGUAGUCGAUGGGAAACAGGUUAAUAUUCCUGUACUUGGUGUUACUGCGAAGGGGGGACGGAGAAGGCUAUGUUGGCCGGGCGACGGUUGUCCCGGUUUAAGCGUGUAGGCUGGUUUUCCAGGCAAAUCCGGAAAAUCAAGGCUGAGGCGUGAUGACGAGGCACUACGGUGCUGAAGCAACAAAUGCCCUGCUUCCAGGAAAAGCCUCUAAGCAUCAGGUAACAUCAAAUCGUACCCCAAACCGACACAGGUGGUCAGGUAGAGAAUACCAAGGCGCUUGAGAGAACUCGGGUGAAGGAACUAGGCAAAAUGGUGCCGUAACUUCGGGAGAAGGCACGCUGAUAUGUAGGUGAAGCGACUUGCUCGUGGAGCUGAAAUCAGUCGAAGAUACCAGCUGGCUGCAACUGUUUAUUAAAAACACAGCACUGUGCAAACACGAAAGUGGACGUAUACGGUGUGACGCCUGCCCGGUGCCGGAAGGUUAAUUGAUGGGGUUAGCGGUAACGCGAAGCUCUUGAUCGAAGCCCCGGUAAACGGCGGCCGUAACUAUAACGGUCCUAAGGUAGCGAAAUUCCUUGUCGGGUAAGUUCCGACCUGCACGAAUGGCGUAAUGAUGGCCAGGCUGUCUCCACCCGAGACUCAGUGAAAUUGAACUCGCUGUGAAGAUGCAGUGUACCCGCGGCAAGACGGAAAGACCCCGUGAACCUUUACUAUAGCUUGACACUGAACAUUGAGCCUUGAUGUGUAGGAUAGGUGGGAGGCUUUGAAGUGUGGACGCCAGUCUGCAUGGAGCCGACCUUGAAAUACCACCCUUUAAUGUUUGAUGUUCUAACGUUGGCCCCUGAUCGGGGUUGCGGACAGUGUCUGGUGGGUAGUUUGACUGGGGCGGUCUCCUCCUAAAGAGUAACGGAGGAGCACGAAGGUUGGCUAAUCCUGGUCGGACAUCAGGAGGUUAGUGCAAUGGCAUAAGCCAGCUUGACUGCGAGCGUGACGGCGCGAGCAGGUGCGAAAGCAGGUCAUAGUGAUCCGGUGGUUCUGAAUGGAAGGGCCAUCGCUCAACGGAUAAAAGGUACUCCGGGGAUAACAGGCUGAUACCGCCCAAGAGUUCAUAUCGACGGCGGUGUUUGGCACCUCGAUGUCGGCUCAUCACAUCCUGGGGCUGAAGUAGGUCCCAAGGGUAUGGCUGUUCGCCAUUUAAAGUGGUACGCGAGCUGGGUUUAGAACGUCGUGAGACAGUUCGGUCCCUAUCUGCCGUGGGCGCUGGAGAACUGAGGGGGGCUGCUCCUAGUACGAGAGGACCGGAGUGGACGCAUCACUGGUGUUCGGGUUGUCAUGCCAAUGGCACUGCCCGGUAGCUAAAUGCGGAAGAGAUAAGUGCUGAAAGCAUCUAAGCACGAAACUUGCCCCGAGAUGAGUUCUCCCUGAGACUUUAAGUCUCCUGAAGGAACGUUGAAGACGACGACGUUGAUAGGCCGGGUGUGUAAGCGCAGCGAUGCGUUGAGCUAACCGGUACUAAUGAACCGUGAGGCUUAACCUU